GGGUGAAAGAUUUAUUGCCUGGAGAUGAGCUCGCGUCUGAUUAGCUAGUUGGUGGGGUAAAAGCCUACCAAGGCGACGAUCAGUAGCUGGUCUGAGAGGAUGAGCAGCCACACUGGGACUGAGACACGGCCCAGACUCCUACGGGAGGCAGCAGUGGGGAAUUUUCCGCAAUGGGCGAAAGCCUGACGGAGCAAGACCGCGUGAGGGAGGAAGGCCUUUGGGUUGUAAACCUCUUUUGUCAGGGAAGAAGUUAUGACGGUACCUGACGAAUMAGCCUCGGCUAACUCCGUGCCAGCAGCCGCGGUAAUACGGAGGAGGCAAGCGUUAUCCGGAAUCAUUGGGCGUAAAGCGUCCGUAGGUGGCGAAGUAAGUCUGCUGUCAAAGACCACAGCUUAACUGUGGAAAGGCAGUGGAAACUGCGGCGCUAGAGUGCGGUAGGGGUAGAGGGAAUUCCAGGUGUAGCGGUGAAAUGCGUAGAGCUCUGGAAGAACACCGGUGGCGAAAGCGCUCUACUG
rnacentral:rRNA from 1 species